rnacentral:rRNA from 1 species
AGAGUUUGAUCAUGGCUCAGGAUGAACGCUGGCGGCGUGCCUAACACAUGCAAGUCGAACGGGACUACUGGAAGAUCUUUUCGGAGUGAUUCCUUUAGUUUAGUGGCGGACGGGUGAGUAACGCGUGGAUAACCUGCCUUUCACAGGGGGAUAGCAGCUGGAAACGGCUGGUAAUACCGCAUACGCUCAUAUCACCGCAUGGUGAUAUGAGGAAAGAUUUAUCGGUGAAAGAUGGAUCCGCGUCUGAUUAGCCAGUUGGCGGGGUAACGGCCCACCAAAGCAACGAUCAGUAGCCGGCCUGAGAGGGCGGACGGCCACAUUGGGACUGAGACACGGCCCAGACUCCUACGGGAGGCAGCAGUGGGGGAUAUUGCACAAUGGGCGCAAGCCUGAUGCAGCGACGCCGCGUGAGUGAAGAAGUAUUUCGGUAUGUAAAGCUCUAUCAGCAGGGAAGAAAGGCCCUUCGGGGAGAUGACGGUACCUGACUAAGAAGCCCCGGCUAACUACGUGCCAGCAGCCGCGGUAAU